rnacentral:lncRNA from 1 species
GCCGGGGGUCCCCCCUAUAAAUACAGAGCAAAAAAAACCCAAAAAUUUGGGAAUUUCCCAAAAUUCCAGAGGGUCCGGCCGGCCCCAGGCCCGAAUUUUUGGGAUGUUAGAAAAAAAUCCCUGAAAUCCUCCCAGGGAAUUCCGGGAAUUUCGGAAAUUUUGAGAGAAAUUUGGGGGAUUUGGGGAAUUUUGGGAGGAUUUUUAGCAAUUUUGAGGUGGAUUUUUGGGGGGGAUUUUUGGGAAUUUUGAGGUGGAUUUCAAGGGGGAUUUUGGGAGGAUUUUGGGAAUUUCGGGAGGAUUUUUGGAAAUCUUGAGGGGGAUUUUUUUUGAAUUUCAAAGCAGAUUUCGAGAAGGAUUUUGGGAGGAUUUUGAGGGAGAUUUUUGGGAAUUUUGGGGGGAUUCCGAGGAGGAUUUUGAGGGGGAUUUUGGGAAUUCAGAGGAGGAUUUCGUGGUGGAUUUUGGGAGGAUCUGGUGUGGAUUUUUGGGAAUUUCGGGAGGAUUUCAAGGUGGAUUUUUGGGAAUUCCGAGGAGGAUUUCGUGGCGGAUUUUGGGAGGAUUUCAAGGCGGAUUUUUGGGAAUUUCGGGGGGGAUUUUGGGAGGAUCUGGUGCGGAUUUUUGGGAAUUUCGGGGUGGAUUUUGGGGGCGCUCAGCCCUCCCCCCCCGGGAACAA